rnacentral:tRNA from 1 species
GUGCCUGUGGCUCAAAGGAGUAGGGCGCCGGCCUCGUAUGCCGGAGGUGGCAGGUUCAAAACCAGCCCCGGCCA